UUUCAUGCAAUCACAAUGCUCGAAAGUUUAUUUUAAUUAGAUGCAAUCACUCGCAGCGAGCUUGCGAGUUGGUUUUGCGAUGAGUGGAAAAGAGCCUUUAUAUUCUAUUGGAGGGUUUGGUAAACACAACAGCAACGAGAACGUGCUCAUCAACAAUAGCCUCUGCAACGAGCAACGAGAACGUGCUCAUCAACAAUAGCCUCUGCAACGAGCAACAAGAAC